rnacentral:lncRNA from 1 species
GUACCUAGCACUGGGUCUUGCAAAGAGCAGAUGUUUGAUAAAUAUUUGUUAAACUGUUGGAUUCAAUCUAUUCUACGUUGGUUAAUAUUUCAGGGGCUCUGAACUCAGAGGACAGAGAUAUAUUCUGUCACCUUGUGAAUGCUUGGAAUCAGAUGAAAUAGCACACACAGCAUCUUAGAGUCAUUGCCAAUCCUAUUACUCUGAAAACAGAGACCACUGGUUCUUAUCCUCACAGAACUUCAGGAUGUGUGGUUGUCUGCUUUGGAAACUCUGACAUAUCUCCUUGUUUUUUAAUAUGUCUCUCAAGCCUUCUGAAAUGAAGCCAUUACUUUUUUUUAAAACUCCUUUGUUUUCCAGGAAGAGAUUGGCUCUCCACUGCCCAGGAACCAAGUCCAUAAGUGGAAAGUCCAGCAUCAAAAUGGACUGACAUUGUGCCAGAUCCAAUCAUUGGAGCAGGAUUGCAGAUCUAAAAGCUAAAACAGACCUGUAGGUCAUCUGGUCCAGCCUCUUCAUUGGACACAUGAGGAAACCAAGACCUAGAGAGGAUG